UGCACUCUUAUUCAUGGGCCCUUUCCCUCUAUAUUUGAACCCCAUGGACCGUCUCUCGAGUCGUUCCCUUUGGUUGCUUACAAUCCACCACGCUUCCCUGCAAGUUCACACCCUAGUGAACGGAAGCUAAGAGCCGCAGCUCUCCCGAGAGCCCCGCUCUCUUGACACCCUACCACUCGGGUCGAGCCCAGUGGGAGCAAAUUGGACCAGCCAGAUGUCAAUCAACAUGUGGUGUCAUUCCCCUAGCCAACCAACAGAGUCGAACUCGAGACCGCUCCGAUACCAAAUGUAAGCUCCUGAGUUUAGACUUCCUGGGAGGUCACUCAGCCCAGUAUUAUUCAAACCCAAGGACACUUAACCCCGAAUAUCCCAAGACCCUUAACUGAUUGGAAAAGGGGGUGCACUCUUAUUCAUGGGCCCUUUCCCUCUAUAUUUGAACCCCAUGGACCGUCUCUCGAGUCGUUCUCUUUGGUUGCUUACAGUAUAACAUAUCUCGGAUUGAAAAGGUGAUGGGAGUGUCAACUAGUUGCUGAAGAAUUGGCUCUGGAACAUGAAUAGCUGCUGGUGAGAUCACAGGAGGAGAAGAGAAUAGUGACUUGAAGGAGAGCUUACAAGCCACCCUCUAUGUCACUAGAUUUGGUGCCGAUAGAGAUUCACUCUCAACCGAUUCUGAGGGAUCCACGACAGGCUGAGCAGCUGCCUUCUUCUUCACUUGGGCUUGAGUGGUUGCAAUUUGCUACUACUAUUUAUAGAGUUUCUCGGCUACCAAAAUCAUGUUGACCAAUGAGACUGGUGCCUUGCCUUUGCUUGACAAAGGGGCUGCCUCAAUUGCUUGUUGCUCCAAUUGCUCCUAGUAUAUUUCUGGACCACGAGAUGGUGUGGAGUUGUCAGCAAAGGGACAUUGCUAGACAUGUUGAGAAGGUGGAAGCUGAAGCUCUAGGUGAAGGUUGAAGUAGUGUUGUAUGUUGUGUGUGUUCAUCUCGCAGUGAGUGCAGCAACGGGACUUGAAUUGGCAUUCCCAAGCUGGAGCAACCUCCUUCCUGGACUCUACAAGCUUCUAGAGCAGCUAUCAUGGUGUGACUGUUGUUGAAAAAUUAUCUCCUUCAAUUGCCGUAGCUCAUUGAAGAACUUCUCGAUAGCCAAAGUUGUAUGCUCAACAACAAUGGGCUUUGGUGUUGAUGGGCAGACAACUACACAAGACAACUCUAAUGAGGUGAUGGCUUGGUUGAAAUUGACUCUGGCAAUCCCCAAGUUGACAAGCAGCUCUCUUUCCAACUUUGUGGGAAACAAAAAUGCCUCGCAACAAGACCCAAAUGUCUUCUUAAGAAGUUUCCGCUGCAAGUUCCCUCAUAGACCUAUUGUGAAUGCUAUUAUCCCAUACUGCUCAUCUUGGACCACCCUAAGAUCCCAACAUUGCUUCUAGUAUGCUCAAAAAUAGGUGAUGUAGUCAGGAACAAACUCAUGAGCACCCUAUCGAAACAAAAAGAGGUUGAUAAGUAAUUAAUUUGUGGGUUUUUCUUCAAUAAAACGUUCUCUAAAAGAAGCAAGUAGUGUCUGGAAGUCCAUUUGGUCCUUUGGGAGAAGAGAAUCUACCCAAGUUGCAACUUUGCCUUCAAGAGACUACAAGAAGUUGCGGCAUAUACAAUCAUCGUCGAAAAUCAUGUUUGUGGUGUAGUAGUAAUCAAAGCGACUAAUAUGUGAUGCUAGAAAGAUUUUUCUAACACCUGAAGGGUCAGCAGACCAUUCCCUUCUAUAAAACAUAGAGCUAGGGUUGAGCUAAAGGUGGCUGUGCCAUAGUUUGUAGAUCUAAGUCAUUGAAAUUUACUAAGGAUGAAGAAGACUCAACACAAGAAGGUGUCAUGUUGUACUUAAGUUGCCUCUAGAUGUUAGAAAGUUUACUCCAUACCUCCCACUGGGCUCGACCCGAGGGGUAGGGUGUCAAGAGAGCGGGGCUCUCGGGAGAGCUGCGGCUCUUAGCUUCCGUUCACGAGGGCAUGAACUUGCAGGGAAACGUGGUGAAUUGUAAGCAACCAAAGGGAACGACUCAAGAGACGGUCCAUGGGGUUCAAAUAUAAAAGGAAAGGGCCCAUGAAUAAGAGUUCACCCCCUUUUCCAAUCGGUUAAGGGUCUUGGGAUAUUCGGGGUUAAGCAUCUUUGGGUUUGAAUAAUACUAGGCUGGGUGCCUCCCAGGAAGUCCAAACUCAGGAGCUUACAUAUGCCUUGUCCCUGGAUUCAGCUAGUGUUUGGAGGAGUUUGCAUGGUUUGGAACACCACAAAGCACCCUCUAUAGGACUCCUCAAGAUGUGCACAUUGUUAACAUGACAAGAUAUGGUGGAAAUCCUAGUCCAUUCUUCAUCCCGGUGCAGAUUAGUACUUCUUCUUACAAGAUGGAUGCUUUGGUUGACUCCGGUUCUGCAAGCAAUAUUAUCUCUCUUGAAGUUGCCUUCUCAGCAUAGCUACAAAUCAGUAAUAGCUCCUCCAUUGUGCUCAAAACCUUUGCCAAUCACAUUGUUCCUCCAACGGGCAUUUGCUGUGGUGUCAAGGUCUUGGUGCAGAGUGUUAUUUCUGAGGUAGAUUUCCUCAUGAUUGACUACUAGUGUCUUUGAAUGUGCUAUUUGAAGGACUUUAUCAUCCUCAGCCACUCAUGCCAAGUUGCAGCCCAUUGCACUAUUGACAGUGCAAAAGACAGGAUGGAAAUUAGCAAUGAAAUCCAUAGUGCCACCUUUCUCAACAACCAUGGCAGAGCUCUUUCUUAGCACACCCAGAAGGUUCAGGCUAAGAUGGUCUCCACACCACACUUUCCUCCUAAGCUCAUAGAGAUUUUCCCUGAGUUGGCAGUGGAGUCACCCAUAUAUGCGAUAGAUGCUUUCUCAUGCAAUGUGAUCGACAUUGUUGGAGGUGAGUCCAACAUCUCUAAACAUCUCUCCUCUCUUUAUUUGAGAGUAAGGAUGAGCCUCUAGCCAUGCCCUUUUUAUUUGAUGGUGGGGCUUAUAGAGUGCUGGCUUCCACAUCCAACUUUUUGGAGUGUUUCCCAAUUGAGGAAGGGCUUCUUGAUUCAUUUCUUGCAGGACCAACUCUCUCUCAUGGAGUUUGAUGAUACAGCCACUCUAGACUAGGUCCAUAUUUCACAGAAUAUAGAUGAAUUCAGUUUUCUUCAACCACUAUUUAAGGUGUCACACAGCUGGCAUCUUCCCACUAAAAUCAUUGUAGCUGGUGACUCUAAGCAUAUUUUGUCAUGCCAUUUUUUGGAGACAAAGGGUAUUCAUUCAGACAAACAGCUGACAGAAAUAAUUAAGCCAAUUGGACAUGCUGCAUGCAAGCUAUAUCUCAGUGACUUCAGAAUUUCCUACUGUGGAGCCCCUAGUACAGAUCCAAGUGUAUUGCAUUGAAGAUUCAACCCCAGACUUGGACUCAACUUCAAUGGAGGAUCUUCCCUCACUAGUAGAACACUUGGCUUUAGUCCUUGCAUUGGAGAUUGUGUGCUUAGAGCAUCAGAAGCAAGAGAGAGCAAGAGACAAAGGCCUUGGAUCCAACAACAAUGUUCUUGCCCCACUUUCCAGAGAUAGACUUGGUGGAUGUGGAGUCUCUAGCAUCUUUAUUCAAGGAAGAGGACACUCCUAUAGUUACAGCUUAUUUUGAUAGCACUUUCUACCCCAAAAUCCAAGUUGCAAGCAUUAGAAUUUGGAUGAUUGAUUUUGUUGAGAACAAAGUAGCCGACCUCUCUAUCACUUUAUCAGCAAUAUCAACUAAUGAAGUGGAGUACUUGGUAGAGCUAUCAGUGCCAUGAAUUUUGCCACAGAUCUCAAGUUUAAGCAAGCCACUUUCAUUAGAGAUGUGCAACUCAUCAUACGCCAAUUUACUGGAGAAUACCAGAUCCACAAAGACAACCUAAAAGAGCUAUGGCAACUUGCGGUCAACCUAAAGGAUGAGUUAUCUCAGGUGACUUUUCAAAGUUUCCCUUAUGAAGAAAUUUUUUGGGUAGAUAGGUUAUCACAUCAAGCAAUCAUCACAAUACAAGAGGCAAAAGACACUCCCAGCUCUUUGAUUUCCAAGGUCGAAGAGGAAUCUGAGAUAGAUGAGCCCUCUGAGCCUAACGUUCCUCUAGACUCCAGGGUUCAUGCCAUUUUCCUAAGUGAUGACAAGGACCUGGUCUUUAUCGCCACAUUGCUUGCUUCAACAAACACAACAAAGCUUUUGAAUCUCCUUCACUGUUUCAAGGAUGUGUUUGCUUGGGACUAAAGCCAGAUUCUAGGAGUCCCCAUAGACACAAUCAUGCACAACAUUAUGCUUUUGGAGUCAGUAAAACCAAUUUGUCAAAAGAAGUAGCAUUUCAACCCAAUAGCUCACUUGGAGAUGAAGUUGGAGAUUGAGCGACUUUUGGCAGCCUGCUUUAUUUACCCUUUGGAGAACUCAGAGUGGGUGGCCAACCUUGUCCCUACACAAGGAAAAUGGAAAACUCCACCUUUGCAUUGACUUUCAAGACUUGAACAAGGCAACUGCAAAAGAUCACCUUCCAACUCUAUUUAUCGAUGUGAUUGUGGAUGAGAUGGCCGGAUACCAAUACUACUUUUUCAUGGAUGGUUUUUCAGGCUACAACCAAAUCUUCAUUCAUCUCGAUCAUCAGGAUCUCCUUCUAGACACCUGGGGGCAUCUUUGCUUUCAAUAUCCUACUGUUUGGCUUGUGUAAUGCCAAAGCUCCUUUUUAGCGCUUUAUGACCCACACCUUUCACAACUUGAUUGGAGAUUCCUUUUGGGUGUAUAUAAAUGAUUUGUGCAUGACCUUUGACUCUUUUGAUGGCCACCCUUUGCACUUGGAGUAGAUCUUCACUCAUUGCCAAAAACACAAGUUUUCUUUGAACCUAGCAAAGUGUAAGUUUGGGAUGAUUGAAGGCUGGUUGCUAGGCUUUGAUGUCUCAUAGGAUGGGAUCAAGCCCUAGAUGGCCAAAUCUCGGGAGAUUUUGGAUCAGCGCUUGCCAACCAACUUGAAGCAGCUUUAUGGCUUCCUCGGGCAAAUAGGUUUCUUUCACCAUUUCCUCCACAACUAUACUGUAAGUUCAUGGUCUCUGAUAACUCUGCUAUAACACAAUGGUGAGAGCCAACAACAAACCUUUGAUUCACUGAAGCAGUCCCUACACACGGCCCCGGUACUCCAGCCACCAGAAUAACAACUUCCUUUUGAGAUUUACAUCAUAAUUGGAACAGAGGCUUUUGGAGCCAACAUUUAGAGCCUGGCAAGCCACCUCAUGCAACUUGCUAUGCCUCACAUUCUUUCAAAGAGACUAAGAAGAAGUAUGUGGAUGCAGAAAAAGAAGCAGUAGCUAUUGUUUACACCUUCUUUUAUAGUGAUUGGUUCAUAGUCCUUGUACUUUAUCUUGGAUUGUGACCAUCGAAAAGUUCCAGCCAACUUUUUACAUGCGGCAGAAGCGUAUGAUGGAUCUAAGUGAGUUCUUAGUUGCUGAAGCUACCUCCUUUGUGGUCCCAGUAGUGUUAUAGGACAUUGCAAUGUACCUAGAUUCAGGCAAGUUCCUAGCUGAUUCCUCAUCAGUGCAACAAAAGGCAUUAGAGAUCCGAGCAUGGGGGUUUUGCCUUCUCAACAGAUAACUUUACAGGAGGACUUCUCAAAAUGUUUUGUUAUGGUGUGUGGGUGAACAUAAGGUCCCUGAGCUCCUUUGUGCUUUCCACUCUUGUGUGGGGCAUUUCUCGGGACGGGUCACAGCGCACCUCCUCUUGCGCCAUGGCUACUUUGGCCUCGGAUUCACUAGGAUAGUCUGGACUAUGCAAAGGCAUGUGAGCAGUGCCAAUGGUUCAACCCUCGGAGCUAUGUUCCACGUCUUCCUUUCCAGCUUGUCAGUUCUCCGGGUCCCUUUUUCCAGCGGGGACUUGACCUCAUUGGUUUGAUCAACCCAUCGAGCUCAAAAGGACAGCAAUACAUCAUCAUGCCAAUGAAUUAUUUCACGAAAUGGGUUGAGGCCAUCCCUCUACAACAAGCAGAUCAACAAUCUACAACAAAGUUUGUCUACAAGUACAUCAUUUGCCAAUUCAAAGUUCCUACAAUUUUGAUUUCUGAUCGUGGUAGUGGCUUCCUUGGAUAGGUGAUGCAGCAUCUUCUCCAGUAGCUGCAAGUCAAGCACUUGAAGAACAGCUACUAUCCUGAGUGCAAUGGCUAGGCAGAGUCCAGCAACAAGAUAUUGAAGACAAUCAUCUUAAAACUUGUGGAGGAUCACACAAGGCGUUAGUAUAUACACUUGGUUACAGCGUUGUGGGCCUUUCGGAUGUCAAUUAAGACAUCCAUCUUUGCUACCCCAUUCUCUCUUGUCUAUGGGACAGAGGCUGUGCUUCCAGUGGAGAUCUAGAUGCCAUCACUCUCACUUUCACUUCGAUACGCAGUAGCAAUGGAACUUAGUGAUGAGGACAAGCUUCAUGUGUAUGACUUGGGCAAUGCAUCCCCUCUUCUACCUAUCCUUCUUUCUCGAUUUUGGCCAAUCCUUGGAGCAUACCUAAAGUCAUCAUGAGGUUGCAUUUGCAUAUUAUACUUUCCUAAGCCAAAAUCCAGGUACGGGUUAAGUUCUUUGGGUUUUUCUUCUCUUUCCAUACUUUUCUUCACUUUUUCUUUUACAUCAAAGUUUAGUUUGACUAUAGGGUUUCCUACCGAGUUUUCCUCCCUGUUUUUCAACUUCACAUCUACCCCCUUUUCUUUUUUUUUCCCACUUUAUUUUUCAAGGUUUGUACUAUUUCACGCAGUUACUAGCACUUGGCAUCAGCAGCAGAGGUACACUCUACACUUUUUAUAGGGUUCUUGUGCCUCUGGAGUCAGUGCGAUCCACCGUGGUCGCAUGUUAAGGUGUGGCCACUUAGAGAGUGUGAGAGUGAGAGAGAGAAUAUUCUAAUUCCUGAAAUAUUCCCUAUCCUCCUUGUAUAAAACCCUUGCCCCACAGGGGCAAAAGGGGGCAUUUGUGAAGAGCAUUGGAGCAUUUUUUGUAUUUGAGCAAGCGUUGGGGGAAGUGCCCAUCCUUCCCCCAAUACCAACUAAGGUGAAAAUUCAUUUGGUAUUUUAUGUUAGCUAGUUGAAAGGUGCACUAUCUUGGAGUGAAAGGCCUAAUGCCUCCUUGAUAUAUACAGCUGUGGAAGAUGGACUAGGAGCUUGAGUAGGUUUCCUUAGAAAGGGCGAUCACCGAUACAACUCAUUCUUGAGAUAAGGACUUUGUUGGGGGGGAAGAAUUGUUAUGUGCCAUCUUUGACCACAUGGUCAACAUCGGUCAAAGGGAAUCUCUCAAAGCUAUAUUAAGGCAUGUUAGGGUAAGGAACUUAACUUUACCUAGGGCUCAUAAUGGAGCAAUGGCAUAGUGGAGCUUUUGAGGUAGCUCGGGGGUGGUUGGGUGGUGAGGAAUCAAAAGGAGGCGUAGCAUAGUCUAGGGAGAAUAGGUAUUUGUCUUUUAGUGUUGGAUCUUAACAAGUGUAAAGAUUUUAAGACAAUAUGGGACUUUUAAGAUUGUAGAAUAAUAUAGUUUUAUAUUUCUAUUAGAUCUGAUUCAAACUUCCAAAACCUAAAGAUAAUUAAAUGGGGAAAUUUCUUCUGCAUUACUGAAAUCAUUUGCCACUUUUGUAAAUGUUUUCUUUGCUGACAUUUCAUUCUUUGUCUUGGCUCUAUAUAAUUGGAAGCUAUGAUUUGCAACAAUACCAGCAUAGUUGAAUGCUCAAAGUUUCUUCUUUUAGGAAUAUAUAAAGUGGAUAAUAUUAGGAUUUACAACAUUCCAAGUCCAAAAAGACUUGAGAUUUUGAAUAAGUGCUUGUAGUAGACCUUAUCUUUCUCCCCUUAAGUCAAUCAAAGAAAGAGAAAUUUUUUUAUAAGAAAGUCUUUAAUAAUUAUAUUAUCCCUAUUUAUCCCUUAAUGUUCUAAGGAUUCAUAGUGACAGUAUACCCAAAUCUCAUCCCAUGAUUACAUUGCUACAUUAGCUGCCAACUUUGACUUCAUUAAUAUUCAAAGCUGUUUGCAAUGUUUUUCAAUUUUCUGACCUCUUUGUUGAUAUGCACUUGUUUUCGCAUAGGCCUAUAAGCGAGCUCCUAUCCACAUACAAUGGCAACAUCUUUUUUGAGCUACUACCUUUUGUUAAUUCAAAGUGAAAAAGGAUGGAGACUAAGCAAAAGUUCCAUAAUUGGUGCAAGAUCAAGAUCAUACACUUUUAGCAUUUCAAAGGUAUAAUGUUUAUAGUUCAUUAUGGUGGGUAUUUAGAUUAUGGAUGAAACAUGCAAUCGAGAUGAUGGUAUAAAUUCUACCUUUUUUGAAGUACCUACAAUCAAUCCUCCCACCCAUGACAUAAUUGGUGUUAGAUUCAAUUGUCGAUUUUGCAAGAAUACUUCAUUAUAUUGUGUUGUCAGUGCAUGGAAUAUGGAAAGGGAAUAUAGAAAAUGUGCAUAUCAAUUAGCCCAAAAACCUUAGCUUAUAUACAGAAGUGAGUGGUCCGAAUUGAAACCAAUCCGAUGGCUACCAAAAUCCCAUUACGCUAAUAUUAGUAUACGGCAUCGUAGCCGUACACUUGGCCCUCACAUCAUCCCGUCCUCUCGGAAUAAUGGAAGACCAUCAGGGUUCUUUUGUAGAUGGGCCGGGAUUUGGAGGAACAUCAGAAGGAGGCAUCGGUGGAUCUGUAGGUGGUAUUAACUCCUCCUGAUCCCUUUGUAUGAAGCGUUUCAGCCGUUGCACAUGCACGAUCUCUGGAGGAUCGGUCUGCUGAACGUCAUGCUGAACCUCAUAAACUUGUGGUCCAACUUGCCGCAACACCUAAUACGGUCCUUUCCACUGCGCAAGAAGUCCCUUAGAUAAACCACGUACCGUUCCCUCUAUAUUUGAACCCCAUGGAUC
rnacentral:lncRNA from 1 species